UGUGAGAGCUGGCUUGCCUGCGAUUGCGGCGGGUCAGUGCAAUGUGUGCAAGCUGACACACCGCUAUCGCAGGCAAGCCAGCUCCCACA
rnacentral:antisense_RNA from 1 species